UACGGAAUGUGCAAACGUUAUUCGGAAUCACUGGGCUUAAAGAGUCCGUAGGCGGCUUGUUAGGUGAGGUGUGAAAUCCCCCGGCUCAACCGAGGAAUUGCGCUUCAAACCGGCAAGCUCGAGGAGGAUAGAGGUGGGCGGAACUGAUGGUGGAGCGGUGAAAUGCGUUGAUAUCAUCAGGAACACCGGAGGCGAAAGCGGUCCACUGGGUCCUUUCUGACGCUGAGGGACGAAAGCUAGGGGAGCGAACGGG
rnacentral:rRNA from 1 species